AACGAACGCUGGCGGCAGGCCUAACACAUGCAAGUCGAGCGCGCCUUCGGGUGAGCGGCGGACGGGUUAGUAACGCGUGGGAACGUGCCCUUUUCUACGGAAUAGCCUCUGGAAACGGAGAGUAAUACCGUAUACGCCCUUUGGGGGAAAGAUUUAUCGGAGAAGGAUCGGCCCGCGUUAGAUUAGGUAGUUGGUGGGGUAACGGCCUACCAAGCCUACGAUCUAUAGCUGGUUUUAGAGGAUGAUCAGCAACACUGGGACUGAGACACGGCCCAGACUCCUACGGGAGGCAGCAGUGGGGAAUCUUAGACAAUGGGGGCAACCCUGAUCUAGCCAUGCCGCGUGAGUGAUGAAGGCCUUAGGGUCGUAAAGCUCUUUCGCCUGUGAUGAUAAUGACAGUAGCAGGUAAAGAAACCCCGGCUAACUCCGUGCCAGCCGCCGCCGUAACAC
rnacentral:rRNA from 1 species